rnacentral:rRNA from 1 species
AUACGGAGGGUGCAAGCGUUGUUCGGAAUCACUGGGCGUAAAGGGCGCGCAGGCGGUUUGGUAAGUCAGAUGUGAAAGCCCACGGCUCAACCGUGGAAGUGCAUUUGAAACUGUCAGACUUGAGUACUAGAGGGGAAAGUGGAAUUCCCGGUGUAGAGGUGAAAUUCGUAGAUAUCGGGAGGAAUACCGGUGGCGAAGGCGACUUUCUGGCUAGAUACUGACGCUGAGGCGCGAAAGCGUAGGGAGCAAACAGGAUUAGAUACCCCGGUAGUCC